rnacentral:rRNA from 1 species
CAGUCGCCGCGGGAAUACGUAGGGUGCGAGCGUUAAUCGGAAUUACUGGGCGUAAAGCGUGCGCAGGCGGUUAUAUAAGACAGAUGUGAAAUCCCCGGGCUCAACCUGGGACCUGCAUUUGUGACUGUAUAGCUAGAGUACGGUAGAGGGGGAUGGAAUUCCGCGUGUAGCAGUGAAAUGCGUAGAUAUGCGGAGGAACACCGAAGGCGAAGGCAAUCCCCUGGACCUGUACUGACGCUCAUGCACGAAAGCGUGGGGAGCAAACAGGAUUAGAUACCCGGGUAGUCCCUGUCUCUUAUAC